GAGUGCUAUUCCAGAAAUCAGUUUGAUUUCCAUUUUAACCAUGCUCCUGCAUAAAGCUGUUUGAUAGCAGUGGAUUUGCUACUGAUUUCAGGUGUGCAGGAGAAGAGGCUAUUUGUUCUGAGCAGAAGGGAACCCAGUGCUUUCAUUUAUUCAUUUUUUAAUGUAAGUAAGGAAAACAGUAUUUCAGGGCCUGAAAAUUACCAUUUCCUGGGUCUUGAAUAUACAUACACCUGAAGUAAUCAGAUUGAUUUUGUUUCUAA
rnacentral:lncRNA from 12 species